UUUUUUGUUGUAUAAUUUUACUGUAUGUUUCAGCUACUUUCAAGCUUUAUAAAAACUUGUAUAUGACCACAUGUAGAAUGGUCUUAGAGUCAGUGUUUGCUCGUAAUAAAUGUUUAUAUUUAUUAUUAAUCGAUUAAAUAAAAUUAAAUUCUGUAUAAAAAUUCGCGAAUUAGAGUCAGUGUUGAUACAUCUUAACUACGUUCUGGUGCAGGAUGCUCAUCGUGCAAUGAAUCAAGAAAUAUUUCGACAAUCAUCGCAAUCGCGCGCGUGACAAUGAAUGGAAUGUUGUAUCGUUCAAAUAAAAUCAACAUCGCGAAUUAGAAGUAUCGUUCGUUCGUCGAUUAAAAUUCGUUCGCGUUUCACGAUUAUAUCGAUUGCGAGCAAAGCAGUCAUAGUGUUAGAAUUCGUUCGUUCAAAGUGAUAUUUUUAUUUUAAAACAGUCGCACAGACUGUUCGCGUAUUAGAGUCAGUGCAUCAUUGAAGAUGAAAGAAAAAUUAAGCUUCUUCUAUAGAAAUAUAUCGAGGAUCGUUGUAAUACUUUCAAUACAAGAACGUUGACCUAACACGUGUACCUGAUUUAUCACGAGUCAACCUCCUACAAUUUCCAUGUAUAUCGUGGACGAGUGUUUUGGAGCCAUCGCAGAACUUCUUAAGUAGUGAGUGAAAAUUUAAGUCCCUCCACAAGUACUUGGUUAAAAUCAAAGAUACUUGGAUUAACGA